UGCCCUCACGGGUAGAUCUCCCACCCUUGAAUAUUUUAUACCUUUGUUGCUUUGGCGGGCCGCUUCGGCUACCGGCUUUGGCUGGUGAGUGCCCGCCAGAGGACCCCAAAUUCUGAAUUAUAGUGUCGUCUGAGUACUAUAAAAUAGUUAAAACUUUCAACAACGGAUCUCUUGGUUCUGGCAUCGAUGAAGAACGCAGCGAAAUGCGAUAAGUAAUGUGAAUUGCAGAAUUCAGUGAAUCAUCGAAUCUUUGAACGCACAUUGCGCCCCUUGGUAUUCCGAGGGGCAUGCCUGUUCGAGCGUCAUUAUAACCCCUCAAGCUCAGCUUGGUGUUGGGGCCUGCCGCACGGGCAGCCCUUAAAAUCAGUGGCGGUGCCAUCUGGCUCUAAGCGUAGUAAUUCUUCUCGCUAUAGAGUCACGGUGGAUGCUUGCCAUUAACCCCCAAUUUUCAAUGGUUGACCUCGGAUCAGGUAGGGAUACCCGCUGAACUUAAGCAUAUCAAUAAGCGGAGGAAAAGAAACCAACAGGGAUUGCCUCAGUAACGGCGAGUGAAGCGGCAACAGCUCAAAUUUGAAAUCUGGCUCUUUCAGGGUCCGAGU
rnacentral:rRNA from 1 species